rnacentral:snRNA from 1 species
AGCCGCGUGGUGAGCACAAGGCGAACUAUUCUUUCGCCUUUUACUAAAGAAUACCGUGUGCUCGCCACUUUAAAGCGGCAUACGCCUAUUUUUGGCAGGGGCCUCUUCUCUAGAGCCCC